UUAAUUGAGGCCAAAAAGAGGCAUAUCACUGUUAAUGAUAAGAUUGAAUAGUUUUUCCGAUUAAG
rnacentral:tRNA from 1 species